AGAAUCAACGCUGGCGGCGUGCCUAACACAUGCAAGUCGCACGAGAAAGUGGAGCAAUCCAUGAGUAAAGUGGCGCACGGGUGAGUAACACGUGAAUCAUCUACCUCCGAGUGGGGAAUAACUGAGAGAAAUCUUGGCUAAUACCGCAUAAUACCCACGGGUCAAAGCAGCAAUGCGCUUGGAGAGGAGUUCGCGGCAGAUUAGCUAGUUGGCGGGGUAAUGGCCCACCAAGGCGAUGAUCUGUAUCCGGCCUGAGAGGGCGCACGGACACACUGGAACUGAAACACGGUCCAGACUCCUACGGGAGGCAGCAGUGGGGAAUUUUGCGCAGUGGGGGAAACCCUGACGCAGCAACGCCGCGUGGAGGAUGAAGCCCCUUGGGGUGUAAACUCCUUUCGAUCGGGAAGAUUAUGACGGUACCGAUAUAAGAAGCCCCGGCUAACUUCGUGCCAGCAGCCGCGGUAAUACGAGGGGGGCGAGCGUUGUUCGGAAUUAUUGGGCGUAAAGGGUGCGUAGGCGGUGCGGUAAGUCUUCUGUGAAAUCUCCGGGCUCAACCCGGAGCCUGCAGAGGAAACUGCCGUGCUGGAGUAUGGGAGAGGUGAGUGGAAUUCCCGGUGUAGCGGUGAAAUGCGUAGAUAUCGGGAGGAACACCUGUGGCGAAAGCGGCUCACUGGACCAUUACCGACGCUGAUGCACGAAAGCUAGGGGAGCAAACAGGAUUAGAUACCCUGGUAGUCCUAGCCCUAAACGAUGAUCGCUUGGUGUGACAGGUACCCAAUCCUGUCGUGCCGGAGCUAACGCGUUAAGCGAUCCGCCUGGGGAGUACGGUCGCAAGGCUGAA
rnacentral:rRNA from 1 species